rnacentral:rRNA from 1 species
UACGGGGGGAGCAAGCGUGGUUCGGAUUUACUGGGCGUAAAGGGCGCGUAGGCGGCCACCGCAAGUCGACUGUGAAAUCUCCGGGCUUAACCCGGAAAGGUCAGCCGAUACUGCGGGGCUAGAGUGCAGAAGGGGCAACUGGAAUUCUCGGUGUAGCGGUAAAAUGCGUAGAUAUCGAGAGGAACACCUGCGGCGAAGGCGGGUUGCUGGGCUGACACUGACGCUGAUGCGCGAAAGCUAGGGGAGCGAACGGG